CAGCAGCUCAAGUGGUGGUCGUUAUUAUUGGGCUUAAAGCGUCCGUAGCCGGCUUAGCAAGUUUCCUGUUAAACUCAGCGACUCAAUCGUUGGAUCGCGGGAAAUACUACUAGGCUAGGAGGCGGGAGAGGUCAACGGUACUUCUGGGGUAGGGGUGAAAUCCUAUAAUCCCAGGAGGACCACCAGUGGCGAAGGCUGUUGAUUAGAACGCGCUCGACGGUGAGGGACGAAAGCUGGGGGAGCGAACCGGAUUAGAUACCCGAGUAGUCC
rnacentral:rRNA from 1 species